rnacentral:rRNA from 1 species
AACAAACGCUGGCGGCGUGCCUAACACAUGCAAGUCGUACGAGAAAGGGUCCUUCGGGACCUGAGUAAAGUGGCGCACGGGUGAGUAGCGCGUGGAUAAUCUACCCUUCAGUUGGGAACAACUCAUCGAAAGGUGGGCUAAUACCGAAUAAUACUGCUCGACCUUGGUCGAGCAGCCAAAGAGAGCCUCUGCUUGCAAGCCCUCGCUGAAGGAUGAGUUCGCGUACCAUUAGCUUGUUGGUAGGGUAAUGGCCUACCAAGGCGACGAUGGUUAGCUGGUCUGAGAGGAUGAUCAGCCACACUGGAACUGAGACACGGUCCAGACUCCUACGGGAGGCAGCAGUGAGGAAUCUUGCGCAAUGGGGAAACCCUGACGCAGCAACGCCGCGUGAGUGAGGAAGGUCUUCGGAUCGUAAAGCUCUGUCAGUUGGAAAGAAAUGUCUGAGAGUCAAUCCCUUUCAGGUCUUGACGGUACCAACAGAGGAACG